rnacentral:rRNA from 1 species
UACGUAGGCAGCAAACGUUGUUCGGAAUUACUGGGCGUAAAGAGUGUGUAGGCGGUUCUGUAAGUUUGGUGUGAAAUCUCCCGGCUUAACUGGGAGGGUGCGCCGAAAACUGCAAGGCUUGAGUGCUGGAGAGGAUAGUGGAAUUCCUGGUGUAGCGGUGAAAUGCGUAGAUAUCAGGAGGAACACCGGCGGUGUAGACGGCUAUCUGGACAGUAACUGACGCUGAGACACGAAAGCGUGGGGAGCAAACAGG